UUGAGUUUUCAUAGCAAAAUGGUUAAAAAAAAGUUGGGGAGGGGGGGAGAAAGAAAAGAAAGAAAGAAAAGAAAGGAAGAAAGGAAGAGAGGAAGAGAGGAAGAGAGGAAAGAAGGAAAGAAGGAAAGAGAGAAAGAGAGAAAGAGAGAAAGAGAGAAAGAGAGAGAAAGAGAGAGAGAGAAAGGAAGAAAGGAAGAAAGGAAGAAAGGAAGAAAGGAAGAAAGGAAGAAAGGAAGAAAGGAAGAAAGAAAGAAAGAAAGAAAGAAAGAAAGAGAAAGAAAACAUGCGGUUUAGGGCAAAAAUGCUCCUUUUGAGGGAUUUUGUGGUGUUAUUUUUUGGUUUUCAAUAACAGGAGCUCUAAAAGCAUCAGCAGCUCAAGGAAAAGGUCAUGUAGAAGGGAGAACUAUGGAGGUGUAAGGGAUGGGGUUGGGGUUGGUUUGGGGUUGGAGUUGGGUUGAAGUGAGGGUUGGGGUUCAGUUGGGCCUAAGUUAGGGUUUGGGGUUGGGGUUGGGUUGGUGUGAAGGUUGGGAUUGGGUUGGGUUAGGGUUGGGUUUUGGGUUUGGAGUUGGGGUUGGGUUGGAGUGAGAGUUGGAUUUGGGUUAAGGGUUGGGUUGGGGUUGGGUUAGGGUUGGGGUUGGGAGUGGGGUUGCUUUGGAUUUGGGGUUAGAGUUGGUUUGAGGGUGGGUUGGGGUUGGAUUGGGGCUGGGAUUGGGAUUGGUGUUGGAUUGCUGUUGGGGUUGGGUUGGGUGAGGGUUGGGUUGGGAUUGGGGUUGGGGUUGGGUUUGGGGUUGGGAUUGGGGUUAAAGUUGUGGCUGAGGUUGGGUUGGGGUGAGGGAUGCAACGACACAGCGUGACCAGGAAAGCUCCAAGAAAUGUUAAUGCAGAAGAAGUAAAUCUGUGUAAUCCCCACUACGUACCAAACAGCAGUGAAGCAAACAGAGCUGCACACUGCACAGUUAUGUGUCAGACGUUCCAUCCUGUGGUUUUCUUCACAUGGAAUAAAAGUUGGGAGGGGACGAAGCGGCCAAUGGGGACAUGUGUUGGGACUGGGGUUGGAAAUGUACUGAAAGGGGACAUUUCAGAAACCUGCAUGCGCUCUGAGGGCACCAAAUGUGAGCGCCGGGGGCCCGAAGUGCGUCUGACAAAAUCAAGUGUUGCUCCUUCCUCGAGAAUCAGAGGGUGAAAGCAGAGCUCUCCUUCCCGGCCCAACGCCAACCCCAACCCCAACACAACUCCAACCUCAACACAACCCCAACCCCAACCCUCACCCCAACCCUAACUCUUAACCCCAACCACAAACCCAACCCCAACCCAGGCUCUAACCCAAACCCCAAUGUCAACGCUGUCAACCCAACCCCAUCCUCAACCCUAACCCAACCCUAAUGCUAACCCCAACCUCGAUCCCAACCCCAUCCCCAACUCUAACCCAGCUCCAAAAGCAACCCCAAACCUCACCCCAACACUAAUUUUAACUCCAACCCCAUCCCUAACUCUAACUCUAACCCCAAACUCAACCCCAUCCCCAACUCCAAUCUCAACCACAAUCCCAACCCAACCCUCACCUCAGUUCUACCUCUAAUCCCAACCCCAAACCCACCCCCAACCCUAAACCAAGCCCAUCCACAAUCCUAAUCCCAACCUCAACCCCGUCCCCAACCCAACUCCAACCCCAACCCCAAAUCCAUCCCCAACCCUAACCCAGCCCCAACCACAACCCCAACACAAUUCCAGCCGCAAUCCCAUCUCCAGCCCCAACCCAACCACAACCCCAACUCCAUCCCCAACCCUAACCCUAAUCCAACCCAACUCCAUUCCCAACCUCAACACCAUCUCCAACUCUAAGCCAACUCCAAACCCAAUCCUAACCCUCAACCCAGCACUAACACCAACCCUAAUCCCAACCCCAACAUCAACCCUAUUCCCAACCCAAUCCCAACCCCAACAUCAACCCUAUUCCCAACUCCAACUCCAAACCCAACCCAACCCCAACACCAACUCUAACCCUCAUCCCAAUCCCAACCCUAACCCAACCCCAACUGGGAAUUGGGGGAACAGGAGGGAAUGGGAGGAUUGAAGGAAACUGGGAAAUUAGGAGGAAUUGGGGGGGAAUAGGUGGGAAUUAGGGGGAACUGGGGGGAGUUGGGGGAUUGAGGGAAUUAUAGGGAAUGGAAUUGGGGCUAUAUGGGGGAAAAUAGUGGGAAUUGGGGGUAAUUGAUGGUAAUUAUGUGGGUAAUUGGGGUAAUUGGGGAGAACAAGGAGUAAUUAGUGGGAACUGGAGGUAACUAAUGGGAUUUCAUGGGGUAAUCAGUGUGAAUAGGGGGUAAUUGGUGGUAAUGGGGUAAUAGUGGGUAAUCAUAGCGUAAUUAUGGGGUAAUUAGGGUUAAAUGGUUGAAAUCAAUGGGUAAUUAGUAGUAAUUGUGGGUAAUUGGUCAGGGAAGUAUUGGGGAGUUAGUGGAACUUUGGGUAACU
ensembl:lncRNA